GGGGUCGACAUAGUUUCGACAGGGAUGAUUGCUUGGCAUUAACUGCAGUCGAGCGAUGACGUAAUCAUCAAACAAAAAUAACUGACAACAGUUAUAUGAGAGCUCCUAGAGCUCAAUCACUCUGCUUAGCCUAAGCUAUCUCGAUAUAGAGUCCGAUUAAAUUAACCGGGCAGAGCACUUCUCAGGGUUUUAGCCUUUCACGCCUGAUAAAAGUGUCAUACCAAAAGGAUAGGAUGAAGGAGUUGGCUUGCUAGCUUCAUCUAAAUACCAAUAAGCCUCGUAAGACUAGCCACGAUAUGCGAUGUCUUAUUAAAUUCUAAAUAUCGUCUAAACUGUAGACGUUAUUGUAGAGCCUUCCUUGGACACGGGUGCAACUCCCGCCGGCUCCACCA
rnacentral:tmRNA from 1 species